GACGAACGCUGGCGGCGUGCCUAAUACAUGCAAGUAGAACGCUGAAGGAGGAGCUUGCUUCUCUGGAUGAGUUGCGAACGGGUGAGUAACGCGUAGGUAACCUACCUGGUAGCGGGGGAUAACUAUUGGAAACGAUAGCUAAUACCGCAUAAGAGUAGAUGUCGCAUGACAUUGGCUUAAAAGUUGCAAUUGCAUGACUACCAGAUGGAGCUGCGUUGUAUUAUCUAGGUGGUGAGGUAACGGCGCACCAAGGCAAAGAUACAGAGCCGACGGGAGUGGGGGGUCGGCCACCCUGGGAGUGAGACACGGCCCAGACUCCUACGGGUGGCAGCCGUAGGGCUUCUUCGGCAAUGGGCGGAAGUCUGACCGCGCUGCGCCGCGUGCGUAAAGAAGGUUUUCGGGUCGUGAAGCUCUGUUGUAAGGGAAGAACGAGUGUGAGAGUGGAAAGUUCACACUGUGACGGUAUCUUACCAGAAAGGGCCGGCUAACUACGUG
rnacentral:rRNA from 1 species